UACGGAGGAUGCAAGCGUUAUCCGGAAUGAUUGGGCGUAAAGCGUCCGCAGGUGGCAAUGUAAGUCUGCUGUCAAAGCGUCUGGCUCGACCAGAUAAAGGCAGUGGAAACUACAUAGCUAGAGUAAGGUAGGGGUAGAGGGAAUUCCUGGUGUAGCGGUGAAAUGCGUGGAGAUCAGGAAGAACACCGGUGGCGAAAGCGCUCUGCUGGACCUUAACUGACACUGAGGGACGAAAGCUAGGGGAGCGAAUGGG
rnacentral:rRNA from 1 species